rnacentral:rRNA from 1 species
ACUCAAAGGAAUAGACGGGGCCCCGCACAAGCGGCGGAGCAUGCGGAUUAAUUCGAUGCAACGCGAAGAACCUUACCUGGGUUUGACAUAUACCGGAAACACCUAGAGAUAGGUGCCCCGCAAGGUCGGUAUACAGGUGGUGCAUGGCUGUCGUCAGCUCGUGUCGUGAGAUGUUGGGUUAAGUCCCGCAACGAGCGCAACCCUUGUCCAAUGUUGCCAGCGGAUUAUGCCGGGGACUCAUUGGAGACCGCCGGGGUCAACUCGGAGGAAGGUGGGGACGACGUCAAGUCAUCAUGCCCCUUAUGUCCAGGGCUUCACGCAUGCUACAAUGGCCGGUACAAUGAGCUGCCACAUCGUAAGAUGAAGCGAAUCUCAAAAAGCCGGUCUCAGUUCGGAUUGGGGUCUGCAACUCGACCCCAUGAAGUAGGAGUCGCUAGUAAUCGCAGAUCAGCAACGCUGCGGUGAAUACGUUCCCGGGGCUUGUACACACCGCCCGU